CUGAAUAGGAAUAAGUACACUCAUACAAGAAAAGCUCUAUUGCUCAAGCUGUGCAUACCAGAUACCCUGGAUCUUAACAUCCUUUGGAACCUUGGCUCCCAUAUCAGUAUCAGAUGGCUGAAGGCUCUCAAACACUCCAAUAACCUCUCCAGUCUCAGGCUUGCUCUUGGUAACGCUGAGGGUGAUCUUCCCUGUUGAAGAUGAAGUAUUCUUGAUAUUCUCCUUGGCGAGAUC
rnacentral:lncRNA from 1 species